CACGUAGGGCGCAAGCGUUGUCCGGAAUCAUUGGGCGUAAAGCGCGUGUAGGCGGCCUUGUAAGUCCGUUCUGAAAGUCCGGGGCUCAACCCCGGGAGGCGGAUGGAUACUGCAAGGCUCGAGUACGGAAGAGGCGAGUGGAAUUCCCGGUGUAGCGGUGAAAUGCGCAGAUAUCGGGAGGAACACCAGUGGCGAAGGCGACUACCUGGCCUGUUCUUGACGCUGAGGCGCGAAAGCUAGGGGAGCAAACGGGG
rnacentral:rRNA from 1 species